UACGUAGGGUGCAAGCGUUAAUCGGAAUUACUGGGCGUAAAGCGUGCGCAGGCGGUUGUGCAAGACCGAUGUGAAAAUCCCCGGGCUUAACCUGGGAAUGGCAUUGGUGACUGCACGGCUAGAGUGUGUCAGAGGGGGGGUAGAAUUCCACGUGUAGCAGUGAAAUGCGUAGAGAUGUGGAGGAAUACCGAUGGCGAAGGCCAGCCCCCUGGGAUAACACUGACGCUCAUGCACGAAAAGCGUGG
rnacentral:rRNA from 1 species